rnacentral:rRNA from 1 species
UACGUAGGGGGCAAGCGUUGUCCGGAUUCAUUGGGCGUAAAGAGCGUGUAGGCGGCCAGGUAGGUCGGUUGUGAAAACUGGAGGCUCAACCUUCAGAGGUCGACCGAAACCAUCUGGCUAGAGUCCGGGAGAGGAGAGUGGAAUUCCUGGUGUAGCGGUGAAAUGCGCAGAUAUCAGGAAGAACACCCGUGGCGAAAGCGGCGCGCUGGACCACUACUGACGCUGAGGAACGAAAGCUAGGGGAGCAAACAGG